rnacentral:rRNA from 1 species
UACAGAGGGUGCGAGCGUUAAUCGGAUUUACUGGGCGUAAAGGGCGCGUAGGCGGUUGUGUGAGUGUGAUGUGAAAGCCCCGGGCUUAACCUGGGAAGUGCAUCGCAAACGACAUAACUGGAGUAGAUGAGAGGGUGGUGGAAUUUCCGGUGUAGCGGUGAAAUGCGUAGAGAUCGGAAGGAACGUCAAUGGCGAGGGCAGCCACCUGGUAUCAUACUGACGCUGAGGCGCGAAAGCGUGGGGAUCAAACAGG